UACGAAGGGUGCAAGCGUUGCUCGGAAUUAUUGGGCGUAAAGGGUAGGUAGGUGGUGAUGUAUGUCUGAGGUGAAAUCCCUAAGCUUAACUUAGGACGUGCCUUGGAAACGGCAUCACUAGAGUACUGGAGAGGUUCGCAGAAUUCCCGGUGUAGCGGUGAAAUGCGUAGAGAUCGGGAGGAAUACCAGAGGCGAAGGCGGCGAACUGGACAGUAACUGACACUCAACUACGAAAGCGUGGGUAGCAAACAGG
rnacentral:rRNA from 1 species